UCAGCUGUCACGAUGCCUUCUUGUGUGAAUAGAGUAAGAAGUUGUCGAGACAGCUGUGU
rnacentral:pre_miRNA from 1 species